UACGUAGGGUGCAAGCGUUAAUCGGAAUUACUGGGCGUAAAGCGUGCGCAGGCGGCUUUGCAAGACAGAUGUGAAAUCCCCGGGCUUAACCUGGGAACUGCAUUUGUGACUGCAUGGCUGGAGUGCGGCAGAGGGGGAUGGAAUUCCGGCGUGUAGCAGUGGAAAUGCGUAGAUAUGCGGAGGAACACCGAUGGCGAAGGCAAUCCCCUGGGCCUGCACUGACGCUCAUGCACGAA
rnacentral:rRNA from 1 species